AGCUUUGCGCAGUGGCAGUAUCGUAGCCAAUGAGGUUUAUCCGAGGCGCGAUUAUUGCUAAUUGAAAACAUAGGCAA
rnacentral:snRNA from 1 species